rnacentral:lncRNA from 1 species
CAUGCCACGACAGCUUCCCCACGCCAGGCAGCAUGCACCCCUCCCUCUGGGAUCAGCAGACUACAGGCGUGUCCUCGGUGUCAGGCCACGGGGGCCACACAGAGACCCCGAGGACUCCAGAGACGCAGGCGCCAAACCCGAGCAAGGGUCGUCGGCAUCCAGGCCUGUGCCGGCUUCACGUGGCGGGAAGACCCUCUGCAAGGGGGACAGGCAGGCCCCUCCAGGCCCACCAGCCCGGUUCCCGCGGCCCAUUUGGUCAGCUUCCCCGCCACGGGCACCUCGUUCUUCCACACCCUGUCCUGGUGGGGCUGUCCGGGAAGACACCUACCCUGUGGGCACUCAGGGUGUGCCCAGCCCGGCCCUGGCUCAGGGAGGACCUCAGGGUUCCUGGAGAUUCCUGCAGUGGAACUCCAUGCCCCGCCUCCCAACGGACCUGGACGUAGAGGGCCCUUGGUUCCGCCAUUAUGAUUUCAGACAGAGCUGCUGGGUCCGUGCCAUAUCCCAGGAGGACCAGCUGGCCCCCUGCUGGCAGGCUGAAC